UGAACCCUGGCUCGUGAUUGCGAAUGUCGAUAUUAUGUGACAUACGAGCGUACCGUUGAAUCGGGUGGAUCAAACAUUCUCAGUUUGAUUCGGAGUGUUAUUGCUGCAAAAUCUUCCGUGUGGCUAGAAUACGCACAACAUCAGCCAACUUUCCUAUCUCUAACAAGUUUUAUUUUUUUUAUUUUUAUUUAUUUCAUAUUUCUCAGGCCCUACAUUUCACUAACCAACCAUGUUGUAGGUCCUUGGCCAAAAUCUGACCCAACACCUAGAAUGUUUGAACCCAAUCCCAUGGAUUGUACGGAGUAGGGAAGUCUAUAACGGCGAAGCGUUUGGUUUGUGCAUCUCCAGAGCUCUUAAGCAGGCCUGAACGUUAUUAUCCUUCCUAAAACAAAGGAAACCUUCAUUAGAAAUAUAUUCCAUGUCAAACAUUCAAUAAUUUGUAGGUUUGUGACUCACCACCUCGCGAUAUCCUCAGGGUCAGAUAUGUAGUCUGAGAAUUGGAAGAUCAAGUGGUGGAAAGCUUGCUGCGUGGAGGCCGCUGGUAGGGAUACUUUCGUAGGGAAGAAACUGAGUUCAGAAAUAAUAUUAUCCAGCCCUUUUAAUCAACACUGGCAAGUGCUAUAAUGAAGAAACUCGGGGAUUGUCAUAGUCUGUAGUAAUUACAUACAGGAAAUAUGGUGAAAUGUGAAUGAUAUGAUAAAUUAACUAUGGUCUACGGAAAUACAGCGUCAUAUAUGUCAG
rnacentral:sRNA from 1 species